rnacentral:rRNA from 1 species
GAUGAACGCUGGCGGCGUGCCUAAUACAUGCAAGUCGAGCGAACGGACGAGAAGCUUGCUUCUCUGAUGUUAGCGGCGGACGGGUGAGUAACACGUGGAUAACCUACCUAUAAGACUGGGAUAACUUCGGGAAACCGGAGCUAAUACCGGAUAAUAUUUUGAACCGCAUGGUUCAAAAGUGAAAGACGGUCUUGCUGUCACUUAUAGAUGGAUCCGCGCUGCAUUAGCUAGUUGGUAAGGUAACGGCUUACCAAGGCAACGAUGCAUAGCCGACCUGAGAGGGUGGGCGGCCGAACUGGGAGUGAGCAGCGCCCCAGACGCCAGCGGGAGGCGACAAUGGGGAUGAUUCCGGAAUGGGAGAAAGCGGGGAGGAGCAGAACGGGGUGAGAAAAGAAGGUCUGCGAAUGGGAAACCGUUUUAAUAGGGAAAAAAAAUAUGUGAAAGAAACUGUCCAAUUGUUGACGUUACAAAAUGAAAAGCCAAGGCCAAACUAGAUG